rnacentral:ribozyme from 1 species
CACCCCAAGACGUGCGUCGUUUGUUGAUCGAGACGGGAUCACGACAACAACAACAACAAAAAGACGGACGCAUUGGUCCGUUGCCCAACGUGAAAGCGGC